rfam:Clostridium sulfidigenes strain 113A c1, whole genome shotgun sequence.
UAAUUAAUUUAAUGAGGUGGUGCAGUAUUCUAGUCAGGUAAGUACUUUUGAGGACGGGGCUAAAAAUCCGUUGAAGGGCACAUCGAUGAAGUUCCUUGUGCUGGCCUGUAACGCCCAGUUGUGGGCUUGUGCUGGGAGUAAGGUUGUGGGGCGACCGCAAAGGCAUGCGACAUCGACCCUACAAUCGUGGAGACCAAUGUUUGUGCUUUGGGAGAGAUACCCACGGUACGGCACUGGAUUAAACCUGCAUUGUGGUAAACGAGCUAUGUGCAGAGUAGCCUGCCUUGAGUGAGGUGGGUAGAGGUGAGAACAAAUCUUGUUACCCCGGCCAGGGUAAUGGGGCUAUUGCUUGCUAAAACCCAUGUUGCAAAAGAGGAUAAGAGAGUACCUAACUGUCGAGGAAAUCUCCUAGACUGUUCCAUGUGAAGCAUAUUAAGGAUUGCAGUGUGGACUAAGUGGUAAUCUAGCCCUAUAGUUGGAAACACUAUAGAUAGAGCAUUAAAGGGAAACCGUCAAGAUGGCGACAUCUUGAUCACUCUAUGGGAAAUCCUGCUAGACCUAAGCCGCAAAUUUUACUUAGUAUGCUACCACCUUUAUCUAUUUUUGG